rnacentral:rRNA from 1 species
CACGUAGGGGGCGAGCGUUAUCCGGAAUCAUUGGGCGUAAAGGGUGCGUAGGCGGCCUUUUAAGCGCGGGGUCUAAGGCGGUGGCCCAACCACCGUUCGCCCCGCGAACUGGAGGGCUAGAGUGUCGGAGAGGGAAGCGGAAUUCCUAGUGUAGCGGUGAAACGCGUAGAUAUUAGGAGGAACACCAGUGGCGAAGGCGGCUUCCUGGACGAAGACUGACGCUGAGGCACGAAAGCGUGGGGAGCGAACAGG